CCUGCCCUGUGACUAUAUGUUUAACGGCCGCGGUAUUUUGACCGUGCGAAGGUAGCGCAAUCACUUGUCUUUUAAAUAGGGACCUGUAUGAAUGGCAUAACGAGGGCUUAGCUGUCUCCUUUUUCAGGUCAAUGAAAUUGAUCUCCCCGUGCAGAAGCGGGGAUAAAUACAUAAGACGAGAAGACCCUGUGGAGCUUUAGACGCCGGGCAAAUCACGUUAAGCACCCUCACUUAAGAGGUCAAACUAAAUGACUCCUGCCCCUAUGUCUUCGGUUGGGGCGACCAUGGGGUAAAACAAACCCCCCACGCAGACAAGGAGGGACUUCCCUCCUGAAAUUAAGAGCUCCCGCUCUAAUAAGCAGAACUUCUGACCUAAAGAUCCGGUAAUAACCGAUCAACGGACCAAGUUACCCCAGGGAUAACAGCGCAAUCCUCUUUUAGAGCCCAUAUCGACAAGAGGGUUUACGACCUCGAUGUUGGAUCAGGACAUCCUAAUGGUGCAGCCGCUAUUAAGGGUUCGUUUGUUCAACGAUUAAAGUCCUACGUGAUCU
rnacentral:rRNA from 1 species